UACGUAGGGUGCAAGCGUUAAUCGGAAUUACUGGGCGUAAAGCGUGCGCAGGCGGUUCUUUAAGACAGAUGUGAAAUCCCCGGGCUCAACCUGGGAACUGCAUUUGUGACUGUAGAGCUGGAGUGCGGCAGAGGGGGAUGGAAUUCCGCGUGUAGCAGUGAAAUGCGUAGAUAUGCGGAGGAACACCGAUGGCGAAGGCAAUCCCCUGGGCCAAUACUGACGCUGAUGCACGAAAGCGUGGGGAGCAAACAGG
rnacentral:rRNA from 1 species